GGCUGUGGCCGCCAGCGCCGACGCGGUUGCAGAGUCCGACGAGCGGCUCGCCGAGAACGCCGUCGGGUACUGAAGGAAGCUGCCGUUGAGCUGCGCCUCACACGCGUCCGAGUAGUAGGCCGG
rnacentral:SRP_RNA from 17 species